rnacentral:rRNA from 1 species
AUGCAACGCAUAAGUGCCCCGCCUGGGGAGUACGGUCGCAAGACUAAACUCAAAGGAAUUGACGGGGCCCGCACAAGCGGUGGAGCAUGUGGUUUAAUUGAAGCAACGCGCAGAACCUUACCAGCCCUUGACAUGGGCAGGACCGAUCCAGAGAUGGACUUUUCCCGCAAGGGACCUGCCGCACAGGUGCUGCAUGGCUGUCGUCAGCUCGUGUCGUGAGAUGUUGGGUUAAGUCCCGCAACGAGCGCAACCCUUGUCAUUAGUUGCUACGAAAGGGCACUCUAAUGAGACUGCCGGUGACAAACCGGAGGAAGGUGGGGAUGACGUCAAGUCCUCAUGGCCCUUAUGGGUAGGGCUACACACGUCAUACAAUGGCUGGUACAGAGGGUUGCCAACCCGCGAGGGGGAGCCAAUCCCAUAAAACCAGUCGUAGUCCGGAUCGCAGUCUGCAACUCGACUGCGUGAAGUCGGAAUCGCUAGUAAUCGCGGAUCAGAAUGUCGCGGUGAAUACGUUCCCGGGUCUUGUACACACCGCCCGUCACACCAUGGGAGCGGGUUCUGCCAGAAGUAGUUAGCCUAACCGCAAGGGGGGCGAUUACCACGGCAGGGUUCGUGACUGGGGUGAAGUCGUAACAAGGU